rnacentral:lncRNA from 1 species
GAUUGAACAUCUUUCUGGUCCUUAACGGUGGAGUUGCUUUCCUUCUUUUUCAUGCACCUGUGAGAGAGAGAGAGAGAGAGAGAUCACUCAUAUUUCUUUCUACUUGUGUUGCAGGAAGGAAUGGGCUAUGACUUUAUUGUUGGCACUACAAAGAUGGUGAAUGGUGAUAUAAUUCUUGAAACUCUCAUGAACAACACUUAAGGAGUUGAAAACAAUGGACAGAAAGUUGCAUCUCAAUCCGGCUUUUGGCUCUAUGAAGUCGUUCUACGUAUCUGCAUUGCUGGGUAUUAAGUUUUGAUUGCAAGUUCACUACAGGAAAAGCACAUCAUAUUUCUAAUCUUAAGAACAAAAUCAAGCGCUGAAUUGACUGCUUGGUACAAUUUGCCAUGUCCUUUUUAUUUCCAGUCAGCUCCAAUUUGGCUUUGUAAGGUAUUUGAUACUGGAAAAACAACCAUCAGUUUUCUGCACUCGUUAUAAUUGCAUAUUUGAAAGUACACUAUUUUAUAUUACCAAAUUAUGGGAAUCUCAAUUGAUAGCUCAAAGCAGUAUGCAUAGAUAAUUUGUUCUGGAUUGUGUCACUUCUUUUUCAAGGCUAACAAAA